UACGGAGGGUGCAAACGUUGCUCGGAAUCAUUGGGCGUAAAGCGUGUGUAGGCGGUCUGUUAAGUCGGGUGUGAAAGCCCUGGGCUCAACCCAGGAAGUGCAUUCGAAACUAGCAGACUUGAGUACGGGAGAGGGUCGCGGAAUUCCCGGUGUAGAGGUGAAAUUCGUAGAUAUCGGGAGGAACACCAGUGGCGAAGGCGGACGACCUGGACCGAUACGUGACGCUGAGUACACGAAAGCGUGGGGAGCAAACAGGG
rnacentral:rRNA from 1 species